UUGGCUAAGAUCAAGUGUAGUAUCUGUUCUUAUCAGUUUAAUAUCUGAUACGUCCCCUACCCGGGGACCAUAUAUUAAAUUGAUUUUUGGAACUGGGAGAUGGAAAAGGGGCUUGCUCCGUCCACUCCACGCAUCGACCUGGUAUUGCAGUACCUCCAGGACCGGUGCACCCCUCUCUCACUGUGAAAAACAAAACUAAACUCCUCCUGAGUCCAGAGAGUAGUGGUGCCGAGAUGAUGCCUCAUGAAACGUCAAAGCCUCGCAGCCAGAUGAACCAUCAAAGUGGUUCGACCUCGAAGCUUCAAAUUAGUACGCUAGGGACACCUAGUGGUGAAUUAAAUUAUGAUGAAAGAAAGAGUUUCCUGUGAUGAUGUGAUGUUUGCUUCGUAGCCUACAACAUCACAACGUUUAAGAAUUAAAGUCAUUUCAGUGAUACGUGUGAGUUUGCCGUUCAUAAAUAUCUCCCGAGCUCAUGGUAGAGAACAAAUCAUUUGACCUAGAUUUUAAGUCAUCCCGGGCAAAAUAGAUUGUCUCAGUAGCCUACUAAUAAUUGUAAUAAUAGAACUGCAUGAUGACUGAGAAUGAGUGUGAUUAAUUACAUAGCCAUAAAAGUGAUCUUGGAACUGGGUAGGGUCUUCUUUUUGUAAAAAUGUGCCAAUUGUGAACCCAUAUCGCGCAACAGCCCGAGAUGAAGCCUCGAACGUCACGCGCCACGUCAUUUCGCCUAUGUGAUACGGAGCUUCGCUGGGGGAGGAGCCGAGGUACUCGACACACGCCCCGAUGCCUCGACGCAAACCAUAACAUCACUACCUGAGAGUACACCCGUCCGCCUGUAGACAAUAAAGUGUCAUUUACAAUUCAUAAACGCACUGUUUACAAUUAUUCCAACGAUAUUCUGUUGUUUAAGAAAGAAAAAAGGAUUCUUUCUGUGGCGGGUCGAUAACUCGGAUCUCCAGGUUUCCUUUCGUUAUGCUUCCAUCACGCUGAUUUCAGAUUCGCCUGUCAUCGUGUGACCGGUGGUCUACAGUGUUUAUUAAAGUCUAGACAUCUCCGAAUGCUUUGCAACCGUUCUCCACGGGAACAAGCGUGGGCAUCGUUCAGCCCACCUGAACGUGUACAACUCAUACUUACCUGGCAAGGGAGAUACCAUGAUCAAGAAGGUGGUUCACCCAUAGCGAGGCUCAGCCAUUGCACUGAGGCUGUUGCUGACCCGUGCGAAUUCCCCAAAUGUGGGAAUCUCGAUUGCAUAAUUUCUGGUAGUGGGGGACUGCGUUCGCGCUCUCCCCUGAUCAUGUUGUUCUAAAGAAAUAAUAGCUAUGAAUGGCUUCAUCGCGCUGACUAAUGCCGUCCAUCCCACGUUUUGCAACGCUACGUUUAUUCAAAAGAUCACGCAAACGAUCACGCCCAAGCAGUGUAAUGCAUUACAUUCAGAUGUGGAACUCUGAGUCUGGAAUAACGUAGUCAUUCAUUCAUUCAUUCAUUUCUUUCAUUCAUUAUGGAUCAAAUUAUUGUUUCUGUACAAGUCCCGUCUCUGGCCACAGCAGCGCUCCCACUCAUUAUGGGUUCCUCCUGUAUAAAAGUUAGUAUGGACAAGACAAUAAUUGCUUACGGCCAUACCACCCUGAGCACGCGCGAUCUCGUCUGAUCUCGGAGGCUAAGCAGGGUCAACUCGAGCUCAUUGGCUGCAAUAGAGUUCCGGGUGUUGACGUUGUUGGGGCGGGGAAAACGUGGGCACCACCAUUUUGGCAGUAUUCGGCAGACUGGCGCUCUUGUGGUGGAGCAGACAUGGUCGAUAACUGUUGUGCACCAGGUUGCACAAAUAAACGAGGCAAAAAUAAAUGUACGUCGUUCUACCGCAUUCCUAAAGAUGCGGAGAGGCGAGCUAAGUGGAUCAGCGCCAUUAAAAGAGCCAGGAGCAAGCAAAAAAAGACUGAAAAAUGGGACCCCCCGGCUGUUGGAUUCCGCUUGUGCAGCGAUCACUUCAUAUCAGGGCCCGAAAGGACCAAGAGGUGAAAGGGGACCCCAGGGCCCUGACGGGAGGGACGGCAGACCUGGCAACCCCGGCCCUGCUGGGCCCCCAGGACCCCCUGGCCUCGGCAGAAACUUUGCUGCUCAGUAUGAUCACAACAAAGGCGCUGAUAUUGGUCCCGGCCCCAUGGGCCCGAAAGGACCAAGAGGUGAAAGGGGACCCCAGGGCCCUGACGGGAGGGACGGCAGACCUGGCAACCCCGGCCCUGCUGGGCCCCCAGGACCCCCUGGCCUCGGCAGAAACUUUGCUGCUCAGUAUGAUCACAACAAAGGCGCUGAUAUUGGUCCCGGCCCCAUGGGAAUGAUGGGAAUGAAAGGCCAACCUGGACUUCCCGGCCCCCCUGGAGAAGGAGUGAUAAUCCCUUGAGUCCGGACUUUGUUCCAUCUCUUUUCAACUACGUUCCAUCUCCAGAGAAGAGGAAAAGAAAAAUGAGACUGGAGGUUUUCAACAGACGACAGGGAGCAAAGCUACAGAAGAUGGAGCAGACAAAGCUAUCUGCGAAAGCCAUCCCUCCCAGAGCAUCAACAGAUUGUCCCCAAGACUGCAACAAGGAUCCUACUGCAGAGCAAAGUCCCACCACAGAGCCUUUGAAGGAAUCUACCCAUGAAGAACCUGGAAACGAUGUCCAGCCUGUUCUCCAUGAGGAGGAUCCAGCAACCCCACCAUGCACCACUGAAACCUGUGGUAAACGCGUCCAAUCUCUUGAGCAAGAAUGCCAAGCUCUGAGGACUGAAAAUAUGUUGUUGAAGGAAAAAAUGAAUAGGACUACACUGAAUGAGAUGAGCUUGCAUAACGAUGAUAAAAGGGUUCAUACUCUCACUGGUUUAUCAGCAUUCUCCAUUCUCAUGACAAUUUUUCAUAUUGUGGCUCCUUUUCUCCCACUUAAAUCUAGUUUAACAUGUUUUCAGCAGUACAUGUUAACUUUAAUUAAGCUUAGAAUGAACUUGUCCUUUGAGUUUUUGGCUUUUUAUUUUGACAUUGACUCAACCACUGUUUCAAAGCUCUUCAAACACUGCAUUAGUGUGAUGCAUUGUAGACUGGUGCCAAGUCUGGUGUUGUGGCCUGACAGAGAAUACUUAAGAAAAUCUCUUCCAUAUGCAUUUCGAAACCGUAGCUUUGAAAAGACAGUUUGCAUUAUAGAUUGUUUUGAAAUAUUUCUAGAGAAACCCAGUAGAUUGCUAGCCAGUGCUCAGUGUUACUCAUCAUACAAAUCACACCACACAAUGAAAUAUUGAAUUGCAAUUUGCCCUCGAGGUUCCAUUUGUUUCAUUUCCGCUGGAUGGGGAGGUCGCACAAGUGAUACGUUUAUCACAGAACAAAGUCACUUUUUAUCUCAUUUGCUCCCAGGGGACGUAGUUUUAGCGGACAGAGGUUGUCUGGUUAAAGAGUCCAUUGAGAGAUGCCAAGCUGAAUUAAAAAUUCCAGCAUUUACUCGUGGAUAGAAGCAGUUAGAUCCUGCUGACUUGGAGAACACCAGACGUCUAGCCUCUCUUAGGAUACAUAUUGAAAGAGUGAUAGGAGUUCUCCGUCAAAAGUACACAGUCUUGCAAAGCACUGUCCCCAUAUGUUUCACGGACAUAGACAGGGAAAAUGAUGUGGCCUACCUUGACAAGAUGGUGAGCGUGUGUUGUGCACUUACAAAUGUGUCUGAAUCUGUGGUGUCCUUCCAGUGAUGGGGAUUUACAGUAAAUUGAACUGAUGUGACUGGCUACAGAUGUGCUCAACCAGCAAAUAAACCUUUGUGACUCACACUUCUUGCUUGCUUGUCGUGACAUUAUUUUUAAUCACUCGCUAUUCUGAUGCGAUCACAUCGUUUCUCUUUGCAGAUCAAGCUGCACAUCCACCCAUUCUAACUUGAGUUCCACCCAAACAGAUAUUUGUUCUGGUGUGUUUUAUAUGAAUGACCCACCCAUGUUUCAUAUCCCUGAUUGCUACAGAUAUCUAAUACAAAUUAUGGGGAAGAGAACAAUAUUGGUUUAACAACUGUUUAUUCAUAAAUAACAGUACAGUAUCAGCUACUACAAACAACUCAUUUCACAGUCUCCUCACUAAGGUUUUCUUCUUUGGGCAUUGAUCACUUUUCGGCAGAUGGGACAUACCCACUGUUUUGGGACCCUUUUCAUGCGAAGGCAGGUCUGGUGAAACUUUUUAACUGAACAAAAACCUGACGCACAGACCACCAUGUUCCCUGCUUCUGGCUCAGGGCAGUAGCACCACUGUUGUUGACUAUGAUCAGCAAAUGCUGCUGCUGCUGGUGCUGGUUUCUGUGCAGAAAAACACUUUACUGCCUAAUUAACAGAAAGGUCCUUUGCAGAAAAUGGGCACUUAAUUUCUAUGACACCUGAACCACAGCAGCUACAGGAAACGUAUCCAUCAGGUGAGGCCCCAAUGCAGGGGUGAAAUCCUGAAUCCAGCUGUUCCUACCAUGACAUUCGUGUGUGAGAGGCGAUGACGCAUUUCAUAGUAUUUCCUUGCCAAGUCCUCGUGUUGACAUCCCCAACUGAAGAAAACAACAAUAACAUUAGUUUUGGACAAUAGUAAUGCCACCCCACAUUGGUACCGCCCUGCUCUUUCAAAAGGAUACUACCUACUUGGUUUAACACUCCUGCUUUUUAAGAAUAGUACUUCCUGGAUUUACCCUCCCUGUUAUUGUACCUACUUCACAUUCAUUUGAUUGUACACCAUCUGGAAAUGACCAUUUUACACACAGGAGCAGUUACACACUGCAUGCCCUGUUUUACCCUAAUCCUUCUAUGCUCAUGAAUACCUGGUAGCCUCACUGGUGAAACUAUGGGACUUUUGGGUAGCAUAUUUGUCUUAUUAGAGACACUGCAGGCUUUCUGACGUCUGUCUUUGUGGCUGCUCUGAAGGUAGUUAUAUCUAUCCGGAUACUGCAGAUCUGGGACGUCUUCUUCAGCGGAGAUGCUUUUGAAAAGCACCCCGGGGCCAUUGUAUGGGUCGGUAAUAUUUAACCUAUUUAAUUUUUGCCUAUAGAGCUCGAUGUCAUGCGAAUUAAAGUGAGAUGAGUACUCCGAUGGCUUGAAAGCUUCGGCGCCGGGUCAUUUUAAGGAAGCUCUUUAAGGGCGGCGCUUGAUUUUACUGACAAAAUGGCGUUCCGAACACCGGUGGUCACGUGGGUUCAGGAACUCGAUAUCAUGCAAGCACUUUGUUUUCUUUUUAUUUUGUUCUACACCACAAUUGCAUGCUUUAAACAUGACACGGGGCCAACAGUAAAGGCGUUUUUUCAGCCAACUCCCUGUUAGCCAGUUUACCUUGUCAUACAUGGAGCAAUUUAAAAUGCUCCUUACCGUAGCACCAACGAGCUGUGUGGUUUUCACAGUAGGUUUUGGUCUGCCCUCUGCUUUCACUCGUAGUCAGUUCACGAUAGCUGUCCAAUGAAGGCGGUGACUGGCCAGAGUGUUGUGUCAAGUGACUGAAGUGCAAAAUUCUACCCUAUCGGUCACUGGUUCACGGGUGGGACUUAUCUGCCAUAAGGAUCAAUUGAAACGGAAAAUAAACACGAGCCGCCUGGGGUUCACUCGAUUUACAUUGAAGUCAAUGGGAAUAGUGGCGCUGUUGUGACUCACAUAAUUGAUUUCAGGAAAACAGCUCGUCUUCGUGAGUAUUUCUGUUUCAAAGCACUGAAAAUGGGAUUGUUGUAAGAUUUUUGGUUUAUUUAUUUUUUAACAUUUUUUUGGUGAAGCACUGCUUCACCUGUAGUCUUAUAGAAGCCUCCACUGCUCCACACUCUAUUUGUGAAACAUGCAGACGGCCUAGUGAGACUGCCAGCAGGCAGCAGCAAAGAGAUGUAGCGACCUCGGUUUAUUUCUUCAGCUUUCACAUACACACAAACACGCACACAGGGUGCUUGGUCUUUUUUUUGUUUUGUCGUUGUCUGUUAAACCGCCAAGUGGAGCGACGUGUCUGGGAAGCUGGCCUCUUGGUCUGAGCCUGUG